rnacentral:miRNA from 14 species
UCUUAAAAACAUAUGAGGCAUUUGAAAGAUCCCCGAAGAGAGACCCUUACUCAAGUAUCGGGAAGUUGCAGACCCCAGACACAGAGAGACCA